rnacentral:rRNA from 1 species
UCCAGACUCCUACGGGAGGCAGCAGUGGGGAAUAUUGCACAAUGGGGGAAACCCUGAUGCAGCGACGCCGCGUGAAGGAAGAAGUAUUUCGGUAUGUAAACUUCUAUCAGCAGGGAAGAAAAUGACGGUACCUGACUAAGAAGCCCCGGCUAACUACGUGCCAGCAGCCGCGGUAAUACGUAGGGGGCAAGCGUUAUCCGGAUUUACUGGGUGUAAAGGGAGCGUAGGCGGUGCAGCAAGUCAGAAGUGAAAGCCCGGGGCUCAACUCCGGGACUGCUUUGGAAACUGUUUGACUGGAGUGCAGGAGAGGUAAGUGGAAUUCCUAGUGUAGCGGUGAAAUGCGUAGAUAUUAGGAGGAACACCAGUGGCGAAGGCGGCUUACUGGACUGUAACUGACGUUGAGGCUCGAAAGCGUGGGGAGCAAACAGGAUUAGAUACCCCGGUA